GACGAACGCUGGCGGCGUGCUUAACACAUGCAAGUCGAACGGAAAGGCCCUGCUUUUGUGGGGUGCUCGAGUGGCGAACGGGUGAGUAACACGUGAGUAACCUGCCCUUGACUUUGGGAUAACUUCAGGAAACUGGGGCUAAUACCGGAUAGGAGCUCCUGCUGCAUGGUGGGGGUUGGAAAGUUUCGGCGGUUGGGGAUGGACUCGCGGCUUAUCAGCUUGUUGGUGGGGUAGUGGCUUACCAAGGCUUUGACGGGUAGCCGGCCUGAGAGGGUGACCGGCCACAUUGGGACUGAGAUACGGCCCAGACUCCUACGGGAGGCAGCAGUGGGGAAUAUUGCACAAUGGGCGGAAGCCUGAUGCAGCAACGCCGCGUGCGGGAUGACGGCCUUCGGGUUGUAAACCGCUUUCGCCUGUGACGAAGCGUGAGUGACGGUAAUGGGUAAAGAAGCACCGGCUAACUACGUGCCAGCAGCCGCGGUGAUACGUAGGGUGCGAGCGUUGUCCGGAUUUAUUGGGCGUAAAGGGCUCGUAGGUGGUUGAUCGCGUCGGAAGUGUAAUCUUGGGGCUUAACCCUGAGCGUGCUUUCGAUACGGGUUGACUUGAGGAAGGUAGGGGAGAAUGGAAUUCCUGGUGGAGCGGUGGAAUGCGCAGAUAUCAGGAGGAACACCAGUGGCGAAGGCGGUUCUCUGGGCCUUUCCUGACGCUGAGGAGCGAAAGCGUGGGGAGCGAACAGGCUUAGAUACCCUGGUAGUCCACGCUGUAAACGGUGGGUACUAGGUGUGGGGUCCAUUCCACGGGUUCCGUGCCGUAGCUAACGCUUUAAGUACCCCGCCUGGGGAGUACGGCCGCAAGGCUAAAACUCAAAGGAAUUGACGGGGCCCCGCACAAGCGGCGGAGCAUGCGGAUUAAUUCGAUGCAACGCGUAGAACCUUACCUGGGUUUGACAUGGAUCGGGAGUGCUCAGAGAUGGGUGUGCCUCUUUUGGGGUCGGUUCACAGGUGGUGCAUGCCUGUCGUCAGCUCGUGUCGUGAGAUGUUGGGUUAAGUCCCGCAACGAGCGCAACCCUUGUUCACUGUUGCCAGCACGUUAUGGUGGGGACUCAGUGGAGACCGCCGGGGCCAACUCGGAGGAAGGUGGGGAUGACGUCAAGUCAUCAUGCCCCUUAUGUCCAGGGCUUCACGCAUGCUACAAUGGCUGGUACAGAGAGUGGCGAGCCUGUGAGGGUGAGCGAAUCUCGGAAAGCCGGUCUCAGUUCAGAUUGGGGUCUGCAACUCGACCUCAUGAAGUCGGAGUCGCUAGUAAUCGCAGAUCAGCAACGCUGCGGUGAAUACGUUCCCGGGGCU
rnacentral:rRNA from 1 species